rnacentral:rRNA from 1 species
UACGGAGGGUGCGAGCGUUGUCCGGAAUCACUGGGCGUAAAGGGCGCGUAGGCGGCCUGAUAAGUAGGGGGUGAAAUCCUGCGGCUUAACCGCAGGGCUGCCUUCUAAACUGUCAGGCUUGAGCACAGUAGAGGCAGGUGGAAUUCCCGGUGUAGCGGUGGAAUGCGUAGAGAUCGGGAAGAACACCGGUGGCGAAGGCGGCGAUCUGGGUAGAUACUGACGCUGAGGUGCGAAAGCGUGGGGAGCAAACAGG